rnacentral:tRNA from 1 species
GGGGACGAAAGCAAAACGUCGAGCAAGCAGCCCUUCAAGCUGUUCCUCGCGGGUUCGAGUCCCGUCGUCCCUUCCA